UUAGCUGCCUCUGUAACUACGG
rnacentral:siRNA from 1 species